GCAUAUCAAUAAGCGGAGGAAAAGAAACCAACAGGGAUUGCCCUAGUAACGGCGAGUGAAGCGGCAACAGCUCAAAUUUGAAAUCUGGCUCUCGGGCCCGAGUUGUAAUUUGUAGAGGAUACUUUUGAUGCGGUGCCUUCCGAGUUCCCUGGAACGGGACGCCAUAGAGGGUGAGAGCCCCGUCUGGUUGGAUGCCAAAUCUCUGUAAAGUUCCUUCGACGAGUCGAGUAGUUUGGGAAUGCUGCUCUAAAUGGGAGGUAUAUGUCUUCUAAAGCUAAAUACCGGCCAGAGACCGAUAGCGCACAAGUAGAGUGAUCGAAAGAUGAAAAGCACUUUGAAAAGAGAGUUAAAAAGUACGUGAAAUUGUUGAAAGGGAAGCGUUUAUGACCAGACUUGGGCUUGGUUAAUCAUCUGGGGUUCUCCCCAGUGCACUUUUCCAGUCCAGGCCAGCAUCAGUUUUCCCCGGGGGAUAAAGACUUCGGGAAUGUGGCUCUCUUCGGGGAGUGUUAUAGCCCGUUGUGUAAUACCCUGGGGGGGACUGAGGUUCGCGCAUCUGCAAGGAUGCUGGCGUAAUGGUCAUCAACGACCCGUCUUGAAACACGGACCAAGGAGUCGUCUUCGUAUGCGAGUGUUCGGGUGUCAAACCCCUACGCGUAAUGAAAGUGAACGCAGGUGAGAGCUUCGGCGCAUCAUCGACCGAUCCUGAUGUUCUCGGAUGGAUUUGAGUAAGAGCAUACGGGGCCGGACCCGAAAGAAGGUGAACUAUGCCUGUAUAGGGUGAAGCCAGAGGAAACUCUGGUGGAGGCUCGCAGCGGUUCUGACGUGCAAAUCGAUCGUCAAAUAUGGGCAUGGGGGCGAAAGACUAAUCGAACCUUCUAGUAGCUGGUUUCCGCCGA
rnacentral:rRNA from 3 species